rnacentral:rRNA from 1 species
AUUGAACGCUGGCGGCAUGCCUUACACAUGCAAGUCGAACGGCAGCACGGACUUCGGUCUGGUGGCGAGUGGCGAACGGGUGAGUAACAUAUCGGAACGUAUCCAAUAAUGGGGGAUAACGAGUCGAAAGAUUCGCUAAUACCGCAUACGCACUACGGGGGAAAGCUGGGGACCUUCGGGCCUGGCGUUAAUGGAGCGGCCGAGAUCUGAGUAGAUAGAUGGUGAGGUAAAGGCUCACCAAGGCGACGAUCAGUAGCUGGGCUGAGAGGACGACCGGCCACACUGGAAAUGGGACACGGUCCAGCCUCCUCCGGGAGGCAGCAGUGGGGCAGUUUGGACACUGGAAGCAAGUCUGAUCCAGCAAUGCCGCGUGCAGGACGAAGGCCUUCGGGUUGUAAACUGCUUUUUUACGGAACGAAACGGUGCGCUCUAAUACAGUUUGCUAAUGCCGGUACCGUAAGAAUGAGCACCGGCUAACUACGUGCCAGCCGCCGCCGUAA